rnacentral:rRNA from 1 species
CCUACGGGGGGCUGCAGUCGAGAAUCUUCGUCAAUGGGCGAAAGCCUGAACGAGCGACGCCGCGUGCGGGAUGAAGGCCUUUGGGUUGUAAACCGCUGUCGAGGGGGAUGAAGGCAUUCAGGUACUCCUGAAUGUUUGACAGAGCCCUGGAGGAAGCACGGGCUAAGUUCGUGCCAGCAGCCGCGGUAAUACGAACUGUGCGAACGUUAUUCGGAAUCACUGGGCUUACAGGGUGCGUAGGCGGCUUUUCAAGUCAGGUGUGAAAGCCCCCGGCU